UUUGGCUUUUCAUUGAAUGCUUCAGCAGGCAUUGUGCAGUCUGAUAGGAAGUUGCUUUCUUGCUGAGUGGUCUUGUGGCUUCCUCUGUUGCAGUUGGUGGAAUGUUGGCCCUCUCUGCUUUGAUACCCAGAUUGUAUAUUAGUCUGUGGUUCAAGGCACUUGUUUUGAAUUGUAUGGUCCACUCUUGUUGCUGGAUCUGGUCUUUCAGUCUGUUGGUUGAUAAAACUUCUUUCUGCAUCUGUUGUCUUGGUAUUCUCAAAAUCUGUUGAAGCCAAAGAGGAUAUGCUUUCUUUUCCUGGAGAUGCCAGGAAAUUUGAUUCCCAUUCUUCCAAGCCUGUUCUCAUGCCCAACCAGGAAUUGGUGGAUGGAGGGAUUGGCCUCUGAUGAUGCGGCAAAUUGGAAGUGAUUGGACUGGCAUAUGCCUUGCUGCCUCCAUCCAGUCCUUGAUUUUGCAGGUUGUACACAGGAUUUUCUGAUUGAGGGAGAUUUUUAUUUGCAGAAGAACUUCCCAUCACUCGACGCUGAUAUUCCUGUAAUGCAGCCAUUCUUUCAGCCUGUUCAAAAAGAUUCAGAGGGCCACAGUUUUUGCCUAAAUGACACACCGAUAUCUGAUCUUCGGCUUCUGAAUUUGAUCCUGAGCUGGAUCUGAUAUCUUCAUUUGCUUGGAAUACAAGGGAUUCAGAAGAACUUUGUGAUGAAAUUACGUCAUCCUCUGCUCUUCUAUUUUGCUUGUCCAUUGCAAAGUUUCUUGUUCCUGUCACAACAUUUCCUGCUCUAUAUUGACACGAUUCACUGGAUGUUACAGAGUUGUGGUUGUACACUGGCUGUCUUAUUGUGCUGUGAUCAUAAGUUAUAGUGCCAUCUGGACAAGUUACUUGAACCUCAUGUUCUUCAACUGACGGGCUAACUUCAUUUUGAUAGCAUGAUUGUCUGAUAAUUGUCGAUUUCAGGGGGAAUUUGGCUGCAAGACACAUGAAAGCAGAACUGCACAAGGGGAAAAUAUACGCAGAGACCAUCAGCUUAGGUAAUCUUGUUCGUCACUCAAAAGUUCUAUUAAAAAUGUUGGCUUUACCUUGAAAGAUGAUCUGAUACAUUCUGUGUGAGAAACACUCCUACCACGGAGUCAACAACUGAUCCUUUCCAUUUGGAGAAUCGUCUAUCACCUGCAAAUGUUACAAUUUCCAAUCAGAUUACGUUUCUAUGAAUCCAUGCAUUUGGUGAGGUAAAGUCAAAGCUUAUUUGCUUCUUUUUGGUUUGGUUCUGAAGUAAAAUGAAUCCCAAUUUACAUAGUUUCAAGAAAUAACACUAGAAUUUAUUAUGGCAUUUACUAAUUUAAGUGUGCUUUCCUAAAACUAAAUAAAAGCAGAAUUAAGACAAAAUAUGCAGAAAAUCAUUUUAGUAAUAAGAGUGGUGAAGUCACAAUAGUGGAUCAUCUCUCAAAUAAUGUUGGUUUAUGUAUUUAUAUUCAAGUGUGAUUUCCUUAAACUAAACAAUUAAGCAGAAUUAAGACGAAAUAUACAGAAUAUCCUUUUAGGAAUAAGAGUGUUGGUAAAGUCACAAUAGAGGAUCAUCUCUCAAAUAAUGUUGGUUUAUGUAUUUUGAUUUAAGUGUGCUUUCCUAAAACUAAACAAUUAAGCAGAAUUAAGACGAAAUAUACAGAAUAUCCUUUUAGGAAUAAGAGUGUUGGUAAAGUCACAAUAGAGGAUCAUCUCUCAAAUAAUGUUGGUUUAUGUAUUUUGAUUUAAGUGUGCUUUCCUAAAACUAAACAAUUAAGCAGAAUUAAGAUGAAUUAUACAGAAUAUCCUUUUAGGAAUAAGAGUGAUGGGAAAGUCACAGUAGAGGAUCAUUUCCCAGAUAAUGUUGGUUUAUGUAUUUAGAUUUGGUUGCAAAUAAGAAACCAAGACUUAAGAGGAUGUGAUGGAUAGGAUUAGGGCGAUUAAAAUAAACUGUAGAAGCACUAUAAGGAUUAUAUAUGAUCGAAUAUAUCCACCAUGUUAAAAUAAAUUUUAUGAACAGAUACCUUACUAGUUAUAUUGUUAAAUAAUAAAAUGUCUAUAACGUAAAUGAGUAUGUUAAGAUGGAUGAGUGGAAAUACAAGAACAGAUCAAACAAAAAAAUUUGAGGUUAUACAUCAAGUGGAUUUGAUACUAUUUGGAGAUAUAUUAAAGGAAGGAUGAUUUAGAUGGUUGGUACAUGGCUUCCAUAGAUCCAUAUAAGCUCUAUUCACAAGAAUGAUGUUAUUUGAGUUUAGCAAGUAGACUAAAGUCAACAAGACAUUUUGUUGCAAAAGAUUUGAGUACAUUGGACCUUUCACGAGAUUCACCACACUGAAGGGAGUGGACAAAACAGAUUCACGUAGCUAGCACAAGUUUAUUGCAAAUACUACUAAGCUUAUUAUUUUUGUUGUUCAUUGUUGUGGCUACAACACGUGAACUGAACCAUGUGAUUAUUUCCAGGUUAUGAUCACUAAAGACAACCAUUCUCUUUCUUCAAAGUCCUAUCUAGAAAGCAAUAGUGGCACCAUUGUGGUUUUGCACUCUCGGACUUCCCCCAUACUCUCCCUUCACACACUCCCCAAAUCACAAUGAUUUUCCAGUUUCUGACAGUUCCACAGGUGGUUCUGGCGUUGUGGGUUCUUCAAUUAUAGGUUCACAGGUACUUAACCCUGUUUCUCUGUCUGAAUUGUCACCUACUGGUGGUAGUGACAUUGGCUUUAUUGUUACACCAGGGUUUUCAUUGGCAGUCGUUCGAGGAGUAGACGCGACAAUGCUUUUCUCUUCUAGCCCAGGGAGGGCAAGUCUUGCGCUGUAUAAAACAAAGUAUAAUUGUCAUAUUUAUGCGUAUUAAUUUCUGAUGUCACAGCCAAAUAAGAUUACGAGGUUAUAGAAGGCUAACCUUGCGAAAGCACUAGCAAAGUGUCGGCACUCUCCUCUCAUUGGGCAUGCAUUACAAUUUGGUUGUUUCUUUGUGCAGAAAACCUGUAUCCAAGAUUAAGAAACUAUCUAUUAUGAACCUCUCAUGUACCGAGGACGAUAAUGAGCUCCAGUGAAGACAUACCUUUCCAAAUGUUAUCAUUUGAUAGUGUAGCUCAUACCUGCAGUUCCAUAAUAUAUAAAUCAGUAGAACUUCUCCAGGUAUGUAUAAAAAUUUCUUCUGAUUAAACUGUCGAUAAUAAGAGAUUUUCGAAUUGAAAUGAGUCACUCUGAGAAAGGAAAUUACAAUGUUUUCUGAUCCAGCUUACAGAGUCUGGGCCAAAGAUAUUUCUGGAUAGAUUCCAGAACUGGGUACCUGCAUGAAACAAAAUUAGAAUCAAGAGUAGCUCAUAAACUUCACUGUUGAUUGCUUGGCAUGUACUUACAAUUCAAGGAGAUGCAAUUGGAGUGCCUCAGGUAGUGGCUGGAGAGGCACCCAUCCAAGUCGCACGGCAAUUCGUCCAACAUUUGUGUCAACCUAAGAAACCACAUAGUUAGGGUAAGACUUCUUCUUUUUUUUUUUUUUUCCUUUUUUUGCUUAUUGAUAUUGGGUAUAAGUUUUCUAUACAGGCAAAUGGCCUUACAGGGAAUGCAAGGUUAUGAAGUGUUAAUAGGCGUACGCACUCCACGCUCUUUAACCCCAGUCCUCGUAUGCUUAGUAGAUAAUCUCUGCAAGGCAUUAUGUACUCAGAGGCAAAGAGUGAAACUUUAGAGAUGGCAGAGAUACUGGAUGACAUGUCCUUGCCUUCCAUUACAUACUUUCCAAAGAUGGGUCAUGAAAGGAUUAAUUUCUUUUAGGAAACUUACUUUGACUUUUCUGGUGGAACGUCUCUCAACCAUUCCAGAUCCAUUCCUCCAUGGUCGUCAACCAGUCGAUUGAGAAAAUCCUAUAGAAUAUCCAACUAGUGUUAUACUCUGUGCUUUAGGUUUUAAUGGACUAUCGGUAGUUUUAUUGGAGUCCGCUUUAUAAACAUUCUACUAACCUUAAUUCUCUCUGCUAGCAUGUUGUUCAUUCCCCUUUCCUUGAUUGUUUCAGAAAUCUCACGAACAUUAGCCUUUCUUAAUGCUUCAUAGUCCAAAGAGUCCAUUGUUUCCUCAGUUCUCUCUCUUUUUCCCACCUCCAAUUGUGCCUGCUUUCUCAACUCAUCCCAAAGACAUGCUUCUCUCUUUUCCUUCUCAACUUUUGUCUUUCUUGCAUUUGAACUUGUGGGACCUGUCCAAUUUGUUGGUUUGGUAGAAGAAUUUACUUGUCCUGCGUCAUGUGGUUUAGAUAUUUUAUUCUUCAAAUGUAGGAAAAUAUCUACAACAAUUUGAACCUGUACAUAAAAAUUUUGUCCAGUAAAGCUAGUGAUGUCAGGGUUUUCAAGGAUAUUACCAUUUGGCUUUUCAUUGAAUGCUUCAGCAGGCAUUGUGCAGUCUGAUAGGAAGUUGCUUUCUUGCUGAGUGGUCUUGUGGCUUCCUCUGUUGCAGUUGGUGGAAUGUUGGCCCUCUCUGCUUUGAUACCCAGAUUGUAUAUUAGUCUGUGGUUCAAGGCACUUGUUUUGAAUUGUAUGGUCCACUCUUGUUGCUGGAUCUGGUCUUUCAGUCUGUUGGUUGAUAAAACUUCUUUCUGCAUCUGUUGUCUUGGUAUUCUCAAAAUCUGUUGAAGCCAAAGAGGAUAUGCUUUCUUUUCCUGGAGAUGCCAGGAAAUUUGAUUCCCAUUCUUCCAAGCCUGUUCUCAUGCCCAACCAGGAAUUGGUGGAUGGAGGGAUUGGCCUCUGAUGAUGCGGCAAAUUGGAAGUGAUUGGACUGGCAUAUGCCUUGCUGCCUCCAUCCAGUCCUUGAUUUUGCAGGUUGUACACAGGAUUUUCUGAUUGAGGGAGAUUUUUAUUUGCAGAAGAACUUCCCAUCACUCGACGCUGAUAUUCCUGUAAUGCAGCCAUUCUUUCAGCCUGUUCAAAAAGAUUCAGAGGGC
rnacentral:lncRNA from 1 species